rnacentral:miRNA from 1 species
ACAACAGUGCCAACCUCACAGG